UGUAGGUUCCAGUGAGGGAAA
rnacentral:miRNA from 1 species